rnacentral:rRNA from 1 species
UACGUAGGGGGCAAGCGUUGUCCGGAAUCAUUGGGCGUAAAGAGCGUGUAGGCGGCCCGAUAAGUCCGCUGUGAAAGUCCAGGGCUCAACCCCGGGAGGCGGGUGGAUACUGUCAAGCUCGAGUCCGGAAGAGGCGAGUGGAAUUCCUGGUGUAGCGGUGAAAUGCGCAGAUAUCAGGAGGAACACCAGUGGCGAAGGCAGCUCGCUGGGACGUGACUGACGCUGAGACGCGAAAGCGUGGGGAGCAAGCAGG